rnacentral:rRNA from 1 species
UACAGAGGUCUCAAGCGUUGUUCGGAUUCAUUGGGCGUAAAGGGGUGUGUAGGGUGGCGCCGUAAGUCGGGGUGUGAAAUUUCGGAGCUUAACUCCGAAACUGCAUUCGAUACUGCGGUGCUUGAGGACUGGAGAGGAGACUGGAAUUCAUGGUGUAGCAGUGAAUGCGUAAGAGAUCAUGAGGAAGACCCAGUGGCGAAGGCGGUCUCUGGACAGUUCCUGACACUGAGACACGAAAGGCCAGGGAGCAACGGG